AAAGGGUUGCUACACAGCGAUGUGAUGCUAAUCUCAAAAAGCCGAUCGUAGUCCGGAUUGGAGUCUGCAACUCGACUCCAUGAAGUCGGAAUCGCUAGUAAUCGCGGAUCAGAAUGCCGCGGUGAAUACGUUCCCGGGCCUUGUACACACCGCCCGUCACACCAUGGGAGUUUGUUGCACCAGAAGUAGCUAGCCUAACUGCAAAGAGGGCGGUUACCACGGUGUGGCC
rnacentral:rRNA from 1 species